AUUUUUGAAUCUGAUAAAAGGCGUAGAAGAAGUGAAGAUAAUGGUUGGAAACAGAGAGGUGGAGUGUCAUUUUCACAUUGAAAUUAAAGAAACGAUACAAAGUUUAGUCAAUGUAAAUGCUUCUCUGUUUCAAUGGAAUUUGUGGGCUCCACAGCAUGUGCCUUUUCGUAAUUACAAUUCUUUUGAGGGCUUCAAGGAAAAUCAAAGAAGACCUGUUAUCUACAUGCAUGGCUUCUUCUUCUUCUGCUGCUGCUAUCUCCCCUCGAGAAAAGCAUGAAGUAUUUCUCAGUUUCAGAGGCGAGGACACAGGCAAUGGUUUUACUAGCUAUCUUUAUGAUGCUUUAUGCAGGAAGCAAAUCCUAACCUACAUGGAUGAUCACCAACUUGAGAGACGUGUUGAAAUUUCAUCCACACUUCACAAAGCUAUCAAGGAAUCCAGGAUCUCAGUGAUCAUUUUCUCGGAAAAUUAUGCUUCUUCAACGUGGUGUUUGGAUGAACUAGUAAAAAUACUUGAAUGCAAGAAAAGAAAUAGCCAGACCGUCAUAUCCAUUUUUUAUGACAUAGAACCAUCGGUUAUACGGAAACAGGAAGAGAGUUAUGCUGAAGCAUUUGCUAAACUUGAAGAGCGUUUUAAGGAGAACAUGGAUAAGCUAGGUAACACAAUGCAGGCAUGCUCUUGAAGGAGCAUCUGGUCUUAAGGGGUUUAGUUCAAAGCAAUUUAGGCCAGAAAAUACAUUAAUACAAAAAAAUUGUUGAAAAUAUUUCAUUGCUGCUGCAUAAAUAUUCAUCAUCAAAUGCACAAUUCAAGGGGUUGAUUGGAAUUGAAGAAACGUAUUUAGGGAAUCGAAUCAUUAAUUUGCAUUAGCUCAAUGGAUGUUCGCAUUGUAGGUGUUUGGGGUAUGGAAGCCAUUGAUAAGACCACCCUUGCCAGUGCCAUAUUUCAAAAAUUAUCAUCUUCUCAAUUCGAAGGUUGCUGCUCUCUUUGGAAUGUUAAGGAAGAAUCUGAAAGACAUGGACUAAAUCAUUUGAGAAAUAAACUUGACGCGAAGAUACACCAUUUGUUCAAUCAACUUUUUUUCAUGACAGAUUUCGUUGUAAAAAGGUACUCAUCAUUUUAGAUGAUGCGGAUUGUCCAAUCCAAUUAGAAACGUUAAUUGAAGGUUAUGGACAGUUUUCCUCUGGACGUAGAAUUAUCAUUACAACUAGAAAUGUGCAAGUUCUCAAGAAAGUAACGGCCAAAAUUUACCAGGUUGAAGGAUUAGAUGAAACUGAAUCUCUUAUGCUCUUCAAUUUGCAUGCUUUUGGAAAAAAAUCCCUUAGAAAAGAUUAUGAAAUAUUGUCAGAAAUGGUGGCAAGUUAUGCAAAUGGAAAUCCAUUAGCUCUUAGAGUUUUUGGUUCUUUCCUUUGCUCCACAAGCAAAGAAGAAUGGGAAAGUGCAUUAGAUAAGCUGAAAAUAGUCCCAAACCAGGGUACUCAAAAUGUGUUGAGAAUCAGUUAUGAGGGACUAGAUGAUAUAGAGAAGGAAAUAUUUCUUGAUAUUGUAUGUUUCUUUGAGAAAAGUAUACAAGAAAUUAUCAAGUAGAUAGAUUGCCAGGUAGAAAUACACAGAAGGAAAUAUUUUGUUGUUAGAUGUUAUUGUGAGAUUGAUGAGCUCUACGAUAGAGAUCAAGUAGAAAGCAUAGUAGCUGGAAGAGGUUCCUCUUCAAAAAUAGGAAUAAGUGUUCUCAACGAGAAAUCCUUGAUAACCGUUGAUGGUGAUAAUAGAAUAAGGACGCACAAUUUGCUACAGGAAAUGGGAUAGGCAAUUGUUCGUGAGGAACAUAAAUUUCCUGGAAAUCGUAGUGAGUUGUGGAUUGUUGAAGAUGUUUAUCACGUAUUGGAAAGAGUCACACUAAAUUCAAAUACAUUAAUUUUUUCUUUAAAAAAAAUUUUAUUGUAUCUUUUAUUAACUAUGAUGUUAAUUUUUUAU